CUCUGAUAACCUGUGUUUCAACACGAAACGGGCCCUGCCUCAUUGUUUGUCACCUCCCUGGAGGUGGCGGAGGGCUGUUUUAACCUCAGGGGAAAAGUUGCUGUACAGAACACAGGCCAGAGUGUGCCCCAAAGAAAUCAGGCGAUGGAGUGAUUUAAAAGUGAUCAUUUUCUGUAGUCCUAGCUACUCGGGAGGCUGAGGCAGGAAAAUCGCUUGAACCCGGGAGGCGAAGGAUGCAGUAAGCCGAGAUCAUGCCGCUGCACGCCAGCCUGGCGACAGAGCAAGACACCAUCUCCAAAAAAAAAAAAAAAAAGAUCAUUUUCAUGACUUGGACUAGGAAGAUCAACUGGGCACGGUGAUUCUUGCACAGAUUUUUAUAAGGAUCCUCCAAGUGUAAUAACCAUUUGGAAAACUCCAGGCCUCGAGUACAGCCAGAGAAGAUAAGUUCAACUUGCACUUUGCCAGAGCAGGGGAACUCCCUCAGCUCCCUGUCUUCAAACCUACCUUACAGACCUGCCUGCCCUGCACCUGAGCCACCCUCUUCUUCCUUCCUAUUCCCACUAAGGAGGUGUCCCUGCUUCUUCAUAGCGGGUCCUUCCCCUGCACCGGGAAACAGGCCCCAGAGAUGACUCCAUGGAGUGAAGGACCAGAGCCUCCUUGCCUCUCUCUCUGUCUCUCUCUCCCUCUCUUGUCUUCCCAUGAAGCUCUGAUGUUUCCAGUACAAAAGAAACCUCGCUCAGUCCCAGUCCUUCUCCAGCAACUCCCCUCACAAGCAUGGCCCCUCACUGCUGGCUUUCCUUCCCCACCUUCCACCCUCUCCUUGGCCUUCUCCACUCUGGCUUCAGUGGCCUCCGAUGGCUACACUCAGAGCCUGGGCGCACUGCUCUUUGGAAGCUCCCCUCUGGGGCUGCCCGUCAGCCUCCUCUGAAGACUCACACUCC
rnacentral:antisense_RNA from 1 species